rnacentral:lncRNA from 1 species
CAACCCACAAAAUCUCCAAAAAUAACGGUUUAUAGGUAAAUGUACGCUUUCAAAUUUAUUUGGAUUUCGUUUUGAUUCAUCCUUUUAGUCUUGAGUAUUUUAAUGAUUUUAGUUCUUUGAUUUAAUUAAUCCUAUAUAAUAAAUUUCUUGUUUUAAUUUCGAUUGAGUUUUAAUUUAUUUUUUCUUUUUUAGUUUGGAUGUGUUUGUGGUUUUAAUUCUUUAGUUUAAUUUAUCCCAUUA